GGCGUCUCAAGUGGCUAAAGAAUAAAUGCAUGAAAAUUAAGAGCCAGCUCUGCCUGCGAAAGAGAACAGGAGCAAGCUGGCUGUUGGCUGUCAUCUGGAGUCACCUACUGGGAAGUGCCGAAUCACCCCAGACCAAGGACAGGAAGGAGGCUUGGUCUUCUGGUUGAGUGAGGAAGAGGUUUCAGUUUGGUGAUGGCAACGUCCUUAAGACUUCACUUGCUUCCCUCUCUCUGUUCUUUUGAGAGCGGGUCUCCACCAAGCAUUUUAGCAGGGUCUCACU
rnacentral:lncRNA from 1 species